ensembl:ncRNA T12G3.10 ncRNA
CAAGCAUUAGAUCUUUUGAGCGCGCGAAAAGAAGAGUGAGCCGGCCAAUCAACGACAUUAGCCACGCCCUUAGCGCAUCGAUGAUUGGCCGGCAAAUCUUUUAAUUGGCGGAAAUUUGAACUUGUGGAUGUUUUGUUUCAAAUUUUUCUG